rnacentral:rRNA from 1 species
AGAGUUUGAUCAUGGCUCAGAGUGAACGCUGGCGGCGUGCUUAACACAUGCAAGUCGAACGGUAACAGAACUAGCUUGCUAGUUGCUGACGAGUGGCGCACGGGUGAGUAAUAUAUAGAUAACGUGCCUCUUAGUCUGGGAUAGCCAUUGGAAACGAUGAUUAAUACUAGAUACUCCUUCUCCUUAUAAUAGGAGUUGGGAAAGUUUUUCGCUAAGAGAUCGGUCUAUAUCCCAUCAGCUUGUUGGUAGUGUAAGAGACUACCAAGGCAAUGACGGGUAGCGGGUUUGAGAGGAUGAUCCGCCACACUGGUACUGAGACACGGACCAGACUCCUACGGGAGGCAGCAGUGAGGAAUAUUGCACAAUGGAGGAAACUCUGAUGCAGCAACGCCGCGUGGAGGAUGACGCAUUUCGGUGUGUAAACUCCUUUUAUAAGGGAAGA